rnacentral:rRNA from 1 species
CGCCUGUUUAACAAAAACAUGUCUUUUUGAUUAUAAUUUAAAGUCUAACCUGCCCAAUGAGGAGUUAAAUGGCCGCGGUAAUUUGACCGUGCAAAGGUAGCAUAAUCAUUAGUUUUUUAAUUGAAAGCUGGUAUGAAUGGUUGGACGAGAGAGCGACUGUCUCGGUUUAAUUUGAUUAGAACUUUAUUUUUAAGUAAGAAAGCUUAAAUGAAUUUAAAAGACGAGAAGACCCUAUAGAGUUUUAUAUUUAUUAUGUUAAAUGUAAUGUAGAAUGUGUAUAAAGUGUAUAGCAUAGUACGUAUUUUGUUGGGGUGACAGAAAAAUUGAAGGAACUUUUUUUAUUGUAUACCAUUAAUUUAUGAGUAAAUGAUCCGUUAGUCGAACGAUUAUAAGAUUAAAUUACCUUAGGGAUAACAGCGUAAUUUUCUUUGAGAGUUCUAAUCGAAAGGAGAGCUUGCGACCUCGAUGUUGGAUUAAAAUUAACUUUUGGUGUAGAAGCUGGGAGGUUAGGUCUGUUCGACCUUUAAAAUUUUACAUGAUCUGAGUUCAAACCGGAG